ACGGAUCCAACGGAAUCCGCUACAAGCUGGGGGCAUACAGUCGCCCCUUUUUCCUGCCUCCCCCCUACGGAAACUGAACAUUUAAAACCCUAACUUACACGACAUUUUUACACUUCUUUUACCUCUUUAGUUGUAACGUCAAUGAGUGUUACGUAAAAGCGCGAGUCCAGAACAUUUUACGGAACUUUUCCCCCCUGACGUUACAACGUUAGCUAGCUUUACAAAUUCCUGUCGCGACGUUAACGCCGAAAAACCGCUGCGACCUAACGGCUGUCAAACAGACGACAAGAAAACAGUUUACUACCAGCUCCCAGCUUCGGUAAACAACGGUCGACGGUGGAUUGAAAGCGCGCGAGAAGAGGAGCGAGCGCGGUGACGUAUGACUUCGCGGGGGCGCGCAUGUGGCCACAGUCGCGUCCACGCCGAGGUAAACAGUUACCUGGUAGAGCCGAGGACGGAGAGUGGAGGCGGAGGGAAGCUCGCUGCUGGGCUGCAUCGACCGCAGAAGUGAAGAGGAUUGUUGCUCAAGUCUGCUGCAGCCUCAUGUGGUCAGUGGGGGAAUUCUCAUGCACUCAGCGUCUGACCCUCCGAGAGGAUAUCCCAGAGGAUGAUGGUUAGGUUUUGCGUGUGACCACAUAAGGAUCAACAACAUGAGUCUGGAGCUCUGCAAGCUCUCAUUGCCGUCUCCACUGUUUCCCAGACUGAGGAGAUGUUGAAAGUUUACUCUGUUCUCCCUGUCCAUUCUGUUUCUGCAUUGUUUGCCUUAUAACUCAGCAUCAUAAUCAUGAGCAUACACAACAGGACUGAUGACAGAGCUCCGUUUGUGCUUUUUCAAUUUUUCCAUUCCAAGCAGGCAAACCACUACCUCACACCUCACAGUUCAUAAGUCCACCUAAAGUUGUCUCCGAGCGUUCUUAGAGGUGGCCUACACGAAGUUGUGGGUUCAGCGGAAUUCAUCUGUGGAGCUGAAAAAAAA